UGAAGAUCACACACAUUUCUCCUACAACAAGAAAACUAUGAAAUGAACCAGGACGGUGACAAGAUACAGGGAAAGGAGAGAAAAGAAAAUGGAGGCAUAAGAACAAUAGGAAGAAGACUGAGCUUCUGGGUGAGGUCAGCCAGGAGGAAUAUGAAGCUAGCUGGAGGAAAUGGCCACGUUGCUGGGUGAAUGCCAAGAAGUUCUAGCGCCAAGCUGAGAGCUGCAGAAACUACAAUGACUGACUUCAGGAGGUGCAGGACCAUGCUGAGAAGACACUGACACAGAUGAAGAGUGUCUGAGUAAUGGCGAAUGUAUGGAUGUCGGAGCAAGUGAACAUGCAAAGCCCAAAGGGAGUCAGGCCGUGAAUACUGAAAAGAAGAAGAUCCAGUGUGGUCUCUAGGAAAGGAGGACAUCUCCCUUUUGUGGCUGACCUGAGUUACUGUAUUAAUAACAUAACCCUCCUGCUGCAUGGACUAACACCAUUGUAGGAAUAAUCACAGAUGGACAACUAUUGGCUGCCCCACCUUUUUGUUUGAAUCUUUAUCUUUACAGUAGAGUCUCACUUUUUAUG